AAUGUCCCUAAGAAAAGAGUAAUAAAGAAAGCAUUUAGAGUUUUGAAUGACAAUUUCCUACUUUACUAACAUGCGCCAGGAAUCCUAAGGGAUGAGAGCAUCAUAGCCCAAGGCACCAAAGGGUCCAAUGGUUCUUUUUACCCUGUCCUCUUAGAAGCCGAGGACACAGUAGACAUAGGUAUGUGAAGAGAACCAGUGCUAGAAGAAUCUGGCAGGAUUGUGGUGUUCAAAGGGCUGCACACAACAGGAAAACUACCAAGUUACUGGAACCUGGGAGAAGCCUGCUGGUGUCUCCUCCUCACACACCAGAAACAAGCACCCUCCACCUCUGCUAGGGAAUCCCAGGAGGACUCUUAAGCUCCCAGCUCAGAUGAUGCUGUGCACUACCAGGCCUGCCUUUAACGCAUUCACCCUAUGUCCCUAUUAGAGUGCUGCCUGUCUUGAGAAUGGCACUUCUGUCAUAGGUUGUAUACACACACGUUUCCCUGUGAUCUCAACACUGUAGUCCUGCACAACAGCUGGACCCAAGCUAGUCACUGACUCUUCAAAACUUUCCUUAAAUAGGAAAAUGUUAAUAUUUUGCUGCUUGGCUUUUAGUAACACUGGAAAUGAAAACAACAAACACUACUAAAUACUUAGCUGUUAGCUUCACAUGUAAGCAUUUGAUGCAUCCCAACAAAUCAGGUGAGUCAUAGAGAUCUAACGGUUUGUCAGCGUUGACAGACACACGCUUAGUGGCUUCAUCUAGCCAAAUUCUGUACUUCUGGAAUUAAAAGCUUCCUGCAUACAGUGUUUUAAGUUAAUAAAUUCAAUGUAUCUCAGAUACAGUUUUUAAUGAUCUAUAAGCUUCUUAAUUAUUCCACUCUCCUCCUGAAGCCUGAUUAAAUGUGUCCUAAACUACUUCUGGACCCAUAGCCUUCUUCAGAGCAUUGCAAAUACAUAUGCUUAUGUCUUAGUGAACUGAAUUGUGGAAAUUUGGGAAUUAUGAAGCUUUCUAGAUAAUAGAGAUUGUAGGUAUGUUGGAAAACAGGUUGGGGAAUCACUUGCAGUUGAGAAUAUUAGCAACAAGAGACCAGUUUUUAAAGCCAGAAUGUAUUUCUGAGUGAGCAUGAGGACAUGCUAACACAUCAUUUAUAGACAAGUCUCAGGUCUAGCUCUGCUGUCUAGGGAUUAAGCAGACUAAUCUUGGCAAUGCACAUUCCUCUAAGUGUUCAUUCUGACAUAGACGUCCUUUGGAUGAUACCUGCAUCUUAGUGAAAAGCCUGCUGCCCUACUUAGGAGAGAAUGAAAAACACUGUGUGUCUACAUAACACUUAAUUAUGUGGACACAGCGGACACAGCGUGUGCAGGUUCGUCAAUGCAUUUUGCUCUCAAAGGCUUAUUUGGGGACAAGGUUUGACUCAUGUUGGAAAACACAAUGGUUAUUUCCCCAAUAGCAAUGUCAACAAUAGCACAGAGAUACAGUGCAGUCAUUGGGAAGUGGGAAAGGGUCUGUAAUAUCUCACACCCCCAGAUGUGACCAUAGUGUCCUCUCCCAACUUACAGGCUCAGGGACAGAAUGGGCUGAGCAUCCCCAUUCUAAGCCUGGAACCUGAAUGCUGACAAGAUUUAAAGCCCAUAGAUUUUGGAGCAUUUCAUAUUUUGGAUUUCAUGGUCAACUGAGAUAUCCCAAAUCUAAAACCCUUGUGAGACAAAGCACUUCAUGUCAGAUAUUCAACCUGUGCACACAUAGAGUAGGAAAAUUGUGUGUCACCACACCGGAUAAGCACAAUGGUACAGAGUUUCCUUAUCACCUUGAAACUUUAAGACAGUAUUCAAAGCUAGCACUGCACUUACUGCCAUUCGGUUACCAGAUGGUACAAUCACAUGCUAAUCACAAGUAAUAUGAAGAACACAGCACCCAGAGAACAGCCAUGAGCAUUCAAGUGUGGCAUUGCAUGGAAUACUGAGUCCUAACUGAGUAGCCAUCUCUAGUUGAGUCAUCCUAUAGAACUUUCUAUAGUAUGAAAAUGCUCUCUAUCUUGGUGGUCCAGGGUCGCCUGUAGUGUCUAAGUAGCCAACUUGUAAUUAGCAGUCCAAGGACUCUGACCUGCACUUAACAUUAUGAACAGAAAGGUGUGACCAGUAAGUACCAUACUGGAUUAGCAAGGGCUACAAAUUGUCAAUUCUUUUUUUUUUUUUUUUUUUUUUUUAGUAUUUGAAAAGUUCCUCUUACUAUUUAGUGCACUUAGAGUAAGAUGUGGUUCUGUUUCUGGACUCUAGUCUCUCUAUUCCCGAACAACUCUGAUAAUUCUGCAGCACAUGGGCAGUUUCAGAUGAAUAUCAGAUCUUUUCUCAAGCUCAUAAACAACAUGGUGAAUGUUUACAGCCACAUCACAGAGUGUGCAAGGACCAGGCUCCGUCCUACCUACUUCUGUCUAGACACAGACCAUAUCCACCUGGGCUCAGCCUGUCUUCCUGCGAUUUCACGUGGCUUCUUGGGCUUGUUCUGUUUACUCUCAACACAAGGUUUUGUUCUAGUAGCAGGGAUUAAAGAUAGGGUCUCCCAAACUUUUUACUUCUUGAGAUAUUCUCAUUAAGUUACUCGGCUGGGUUUCAGCCUCUAAGUAGCUGGGAUGACAGGCCUGUGCCAUCGUGCCCAUCCUCAUAGGUAAUUUUGCUGUCAUCCCUCCUACUCUAUUUAAAGAACAGUUCCUCCUUCAUUCCCCAAAAGAAGCCAGGUGGUGGAGGAACACAGCUUUAAUCUCAGCACUUGGGAGGCAGAGGCAGGCAGAUUUCUGAGUUCAAGACCAGCCUGUCUACACAGUGAGCUCUAGGACAGCUAGGACUAACCCUGUCUUGAAAACACCAAUGGCCUCAAACAAACAGUUAACAGUGGUUUUGCUAGUCUAAUCAAAUCUAGCAGACUGAAGUACACUGGCAGAGCCCUAGUCCGUAGCACCUGUUCAGGCUCCUAGACACCCCCCCCCCCCAACUACUACUUGGCUCUGGGGGACUGGAGGACUGACUGAGAGGGUUGUCUUUGUUUCUUCUCUUCCUCUUUCUGCUUAGAGACAAUGGCUGGAGUUCCCUAGGCUACAUAAAAUGAUGCUAGGCACUGAGAUGCAGUGGAAGGAAAGGAGACCAUGUGUGAGAGAGAUGCUGGAUCCAACCCAGGGCCUGCUACAGACUAGGCAAACACGCUGCUACUGAGCUCUGAUUUCCAGUCCCUGAAGACCUCUUUUAGAUGAGUCUAUUGAGGAUUUGGUCUAAUGCUUGUUAUGUUAAUGUUAAAAUUGCAUGAGAAUCCACAGGUAAGGGUUCCUACCAUCAGUUGGUUUUAAUUGGUUAAAGUUGCUGGCGGUCAAUGGUUGGGCAGGGAGACAGAAACAGGACUUUAGGGUUGUCAGGCAGGGGAAUGGAGAGAGAAAGGAGGAUUGAGAAUGGUCAUGCCAGCAAAGGAACAAAGACCAGGCCUUAGAAGUACAGGACAGAGACAUAGUCAACAUGUAAGAGUCGGGGAAGGGUGGCCUCAGCACCCCUCCUCCCCCAACUAGGUCUAGGGCAACAUGUGUGUGUCUUUCAUUCAGGAACCCAGAACUCUGGGGAAGACAGCAAGGAUUGUGUGCAGCCGCCGGCACGAUUUGAGCAGGAUUAAUCAACUACUGCAACAGAUGGUUCUGGGCCAGAAGGCUGAAGACAGAUGCUCCAACGUUUUGAGGAAGUCAGCUGUCUAUAUAAAUUGUUUAAGUUUUGGAAGCUAUGUUUGUGUCCUUCCUAUGUAUUCAGGUAAUAUUUAAUUCAUCCUCACAUCUCUGACAGGGCUGAAGACUAGCUAUAGUCUCAUAAUCAAACUGAAGUUGUUUAGCACUGAGGAAGAUGGUCUAGAUUUGAAAAGGAAGGUUUCAGAUGGUAAUGCAAGUGAAAAUCAAAACAAUUCAGAUAUAAAAUUGUAAACUCUUUUAAGUUAGGAUAGAUGUUAGAAUAGUGUACCUAAAACUGGCAAAAUUGAUUGCCUGGACAUUAUUAGUAUAUAUUAUACCUUAUAGUAUACCUGUUACUAUGUUCAAUGUAUAUCCGAGAGAAAGGCCUUUUAAUGGAUGAAAAGGGGGACAGUAGAUUUGAUCUAAUGCUUGUAUUAUUACCUAUGUUCCCAAAAGUCCACAAAAAUCUGCAUGUAAAACGUUGAGGGUCCCUGACCUAGUUGUUUUUAAUUGGUAAAUAAAAUGGCCAGCGGCCAAUGGCUGGGCAGGGAGACAGAGAUGGGACUUUAGGAUUUGAGGGCAGAGACAGAGAGAGGACUGAGAACCGCAGUGUCGGGAAAGGAGAGAGACCAGGCCUGAGGGUGCAGGAGGGAGAGCACAGCAAUCAUGGAAGAGCCUGGAAGAGCAGCCCCAGCCCCUGCCCCCAUUAGUCUAGGACAGCAAAAAUGGAAUAUAGAUUUUAUUAAGUAACAGCCCAGGAGUAUUGGAGGGGAGGUGCAAGCCACGUGGAAGUUUGGGAAUGGCCCAGCCAUUGAGCUCUUUAAGGCAUAUUAAUAUAGAAGGCUGUGUGUGUGUGUCUCUUAGUGUCUUACACGGCUUCUGCUGGGGUGAUUUGAGCAGGACUUAUUGGUUACAGCAGUCUAUAUCACUAAUUUUAUUUGUUUGAUUUUUCAAGACAGGGUUUCUCUGUGUAGCCCUGGCUAUCCUGGAACUCAUUCUGUCGACCAGGGUAGCCUCAAACCCAUAGAGCUCUGCCUAUCUCUGCCUCCCAAGUGCUUGAACUAAAGUCAUACACCCUCACCGCCUGACAGUACUGUAAUUUUAAAGCUAGGAGUACUUUGUAUAAUCUACUAUAGUAACUGCAAAGCACAUAACUCUAUUCAAAUCUGAGGUGCUUUUGUGGUUUAUUUUCUUUGAGAUUUCUAGGAAGUUUAGAUGAAUCAGGACACAAAAAACAAUAAAAACAUUUAAUGGUCCACAAAAUAAACAAUUAAAAAAUAAUUGUAAAAUAAUGUUUUUGGAAAGAGAAAAGGUAGGUAUCUUGUUGAGUGCUGCCCAGUGGAACCAUCACUCAUAUUUUGUUUCUGGAAGGACAAUGUGUAGGGACACUUAAACCUGCCUGCUGCCCUGUACUAGAGCGCUCAGAUUUGCAUCCUUGCGUUGCCCCAUCAUCUAUGAAAUAACAUGUCCACACACAAUAACACCACAGGGAGGAAGACUGCAGCUGCUCAGAAUGGUUAUACUCUAUUACACGGGUUAUUUCCUAACACUCUAGUCUGUCUCUUUCUUUUUUUUGCUCCACUGUUCAUGUAAACGUUGGCCAGUAUCAGUGUUAGGUCUCGGGCAGUACAACAACCAGUGCAUAUACCCAGAGCCCACGGUGGGCUACAGAAGGCUUGCUGACAGCUGUGUAAGCCAGCACUCCUUAGGAGCUGGUGAACCUGGUUCCUAUUGCCAGGAGGGGUCAUUUCCCUUACCUAAAUAACAAAGCCCACGCCUGACCUCCAUGCUCCCUCCAUCCCCAUGUUAGACAUUAAAGCGAGCACCCUUAGAUCCCCACUCUCUUCACACCCCUCUGGCUGGUCUCCCCGCAAUUCCCUCGCUCGCUAUGCUGUCUCUCUUGCUUCCCUAGCUCUGGCCAUAUUCAGCAUGCUCCCCCAACAAUAAAAACCUUUCCCUUAGCCGGACUAUGGCGUGGCUUCUUUACUAAUCCCUUUGCAUACAAUCAGGAAAACGACUGGAAGGAGGGGCCAGCAUCUGCAUUUGAAUCCUGAGCUCUAGCUGUACCAUUUUAAGAAAGGAACUAUUAAAAUUCAAUUUUAUGAAAAUAAGAUUCAGAGAAGCUAUCAAUUUGCUUGAAGUCACAAGUUAGUAGGUGGCUGAUCCAGCCUGGUCCAGUUUGUCCUCUAAUAGCAGACAGAGCAACAGUAGCAUCUGAGCAGGCGGUGGGGUAGACAGAGCAGGGACAGAAACACAGGCUGCCUGCAAGAGCCGUGCCCACCGUCACAGCCCUAACGGCUCUGUGUACGCACACAGGUCCUGAGACUGUCUCAUGUGAUUAAUGGACUGUCAUUUCCCAACAUUUCCAAGGUCCUUCUGCUUGUCAGCUGUUAGACGCCACUAUUUUUUUUCUCUGCUGGGUAAGUCACAUGGUAAUACAACACAUGGUAAUAAUAAAACACACUCUGAGGAUCAUAAGCACUGCACAGUCUGUCCUUGAUGGCAAAUGAGGAAAACUUUAAGUUCUAGAUCUGCCAUGAUAUCAAGACAACUGCAAAAGGAGGACUGAGUUAAUAAGCAAGUAGCCCACACUGCAGCCAACUCUAAAGCCAGAUUCCCACUCCAUCUCUGUGAGGUGGUGCACCUCCACAGUCCUAGGAUGCAGGAGGCUGAGGCCGGCCUGGGCCACAUAAGAAGUUCCUGUCUCAAAACAAACCAUCCAAACAAACAAAAUAUAGGUUCUGUAAGGUUAAAUCAUAUUUCCUAUGCCCUAUUUAUUAAAUAAGCUUUGGGGCCUGUUUAUUUCUGUCAAGAGGUUACAAACUGAAGCAUGAUUUAAAGUUAGGCAGUGAGAUGGCUCAGUGGUUAUAGACCUGCGUGCCAUGAACUUGUGUCCCAGCACUGGAAGCCAUGCAGAGCUGUCCUCUCGCCUCCAAUGUGCACUGUGCACAUGCACUCACACACAAAUCCUGCACGUGAUAGUCAAACAACUUACAGCCUACCAUGGUUAAGUUAAAAAAUCCUCAUAGUGAAAUAGUUUUUCCUUUUUUCUUUGUAUGUGUGUGUGCAUAUGUUCCAUGUGAAUGCACAUAUACACACGGAGGCCAGAUGACAACCUCACAUUUCUUCACCAGUCUGGAACUCACCAAAUAGGCUAGGCUGGUGGGCAGUGAAUCCCAGUGACCUGCCAGUUUCUGCACGCACAGGGCAGGAAUUACAAUCCAGCACCACCACGCCUAGCUUCUUAUGCUUAAACCAAGGUUCUGGGCUCUACCCAAGGCCCUCAAGUUCGCAGGACGAGCACUUUCCAGCUGAGUUGGAAUAUCUUUUUUUUUUUUAAAUCUUUUUUAAUAUACUACAGACAUUAAGUUGAUAAAUUAAUUAAAAGAUGCAAACAAUGAUUUGUAACUUGUUUUCAAAAGAAAGAAAAUAUUUUUAAAUUAAGUUCUGCAAGUAUCUCAGAUUGCUUGUAGACCAGUUUAUAAGUGGACUGGUUUUAGGGUAUGGUAUAAAACAUAUGGAGCAGUAAUAAACAAAUCUCUCUUCUCAAACACUAAGUCUUUGCUCAUACAAGUCCAACAUUCUUAUUUUCUUUUCUGAGAUAGUCUCAUUAUGUAGACCUGCUUGGCCUUGAUCUUGUGACCAAUGUUCUUGCCGCUGCCUCCAGACUGCUAAGAGCACAGGUCUGCGCUGCCAGGAUAAGCAAACUGAAAACUCCGAAUGCGAAUGUCCGAAAUGCUUAACAAUCUAGAACUUUAUAAGCUUGUGUGAUAGGUGGGUCAAAACACAAGUGUACUAAACACACUGUAUAACCUUAUCUCUGUGCUCUGAGUGUAAGAAACGGACGAAUCAGUGUUUCUACUUCAAUUUGGCCCUAAGAUCUCUUAUAAUGAAAAUAUAAAUAUUCGAAAUGCCAGAAACCUGAAAGCUGAAACACUUCUGGUGCUAAGCAUUUUAAGUAAAGCAUAGUCAAUCUGUGUAAAAUAAGUAAAAUAAUUUUCAGCCCCACACUACAUGUGUGUUUAGAAGAACUAAUUCUUUAUUUAUGCACGUGAGUGAAUUGUUUUAUCAAGACUAUCAAAGGAUUUGUGCCACCAUGCUAAUUCAUCACGUCAUUUGCUAAUUCUGAAUAAUUUCCUAGCACACAUGCUAAGUUACUCCAUUUUGAACAUUUACUGAGUAUUUAUACGCCAGACACCAGCCUCAGUUCUUUACACACAUUCGCUUUGCUGCUGCUUCUUCCUUCCCUCCCUGUGUGCUGUAUAUAUAUAUGGGGGCCAGCUAGUGUCUGCCUUGUCCCUUGAAACAGGGUCUGUCAUGUAAGCUGGAGCUAGGCUAUAAGUCAGUGAAUCCCAGUGAUCCUCCUGUCUACUCCCCAGCGCUGGGUUACAGGCAUGCAUGUCCAUGCCCAGCGUUUUAUGGGGGUGCUGGUAAUUCAAACUCAGUCUUCAUGCUUGCACACUAAACACUCUUACUUACUGAGCCAUGUCCUCAGCCCUGCAUUAGCUUCUUUUAAUCCUGUGAAGUAGAAACUACUAUUAUCCUUACUUUACAGGUGAGAAGACUGAAACAGAAGGUUAGAGUAACCUGUUCAAGGCCACACUCGUGUCCAACUCCAGUCUUGCAGAUUUCGUAGCUGCAGCCGUGGAACUGAACCUGACGCUCAGGGGACAGUCCACACUUGAAACUCUCGAACACAGAGGACUUCAUCAAGCACACACGUGAUUUCAGAUGGGGCAGUGCAUGUGACACGGGGAAGCCUGCUCACCUACUGAGUAGCGCAUCACAGACAGCUGCUCAUUGCCAUCCGUGUGGAUUGACACCAGAUCUCUUGUUUCUGCAUCCAGAACAAACCACCUGUUUAGGAAAGAAGAGAAAACCUAAACAACCCACCUUCAGACAUUUACAUCUACAGGAAACAGUAGGUGACUUUUCCUACAAUUUUAAUUUUAAAAACAUCAAUAUUAACCUUAUAACUAUGAUAGUGCAUCUUCUAAUUAAUGCUGAGUUUAUUUAUCAAAAAAUGCUGCUAGACAGACAUGGGCCUACUUUUCAUUUCUUCUUAGGAAUUCAAAGACUGUCACCUGUACUUCUGCUAAGCAUUGUUUAGAGACAGAAAGGUAAGAUGACACUAGAGCUGACCCAGCACAUACGGCAAUAGAAAAGGAACAACUAAGCAGUAACCGCAAGCACGGCUAGUGUGUUCACAGCACAGCUCACAGGGGAGCCUCCGAGGAGGAUGGAAGACUUAGGAGGAACGACAGGUGCAUAGUGGGGAGGUAGACAGACCGGGGAUGGACACACAUUCAUGAAUAAAGUUGGUACUUUGUGAGAGGCUGGCCCACUGAAGCCACAUGGUCCAUGCUCACUGAACACACGAUGGUGCAGCUGCAGUGCCCACAGACUGCAGAACUGUUUACGUCUGUUACCAAUCCCCUGCUACCACUAAAGCACUGAGAACUGCUUUUUCAAAGAGAGAAUAAGAUGGUAUCCCAACCAAGACUAUAGAGCUACACUGAGUAUCAGGCUUCAAGGUUUUUUGUUUGUCUGUUUUUUUAAGAUUUAUUUUUUUAUGUAUAUGAGUGCUCUAUACCUGUAUACCUGCAUGCCAGAAGAGGACAGCAGAUCACAUUACAGAUGGUUGAGAGCCACCAUGUGGUUGCUGGGAAUUAAAUUUAGGAAGAGCAGCCAGUGUUAACUGCUGAGUCAUCUAUCUAGCUCCAAAGCUUCAAGUUUUUAAUACGAUUAUCAAAAUUUAUUAUAUUCUUAUAUAUUUCAAAUUAUUAAUUUCAUAGUUGACAACCCCUAAUAUUAAGGCUGCUUCCAAGACACUUCAAUGUCCUAGGAAUGCUACACGCAUACAACUUAUUAUUAUUAUUUUUUUCUACAUACAACUUUUACCUCUCUGGAAGCAACCUUAGCAAGCAGCAAAGCCCAGAUCAUGUCCUCAUGUGUGGAAAUCCACACUGGUUAGAGAUAGCAGCUGCUUAUGAAUGAAAGACAAACUCUUGUGUUUUUCUGUUUCUUUAAAUGCAUAGUAGAUUAAUUCUAUUUUUGGAAUAGAAUUUGUCAGGUAUGAUAUGGUUGUGAAUGCGACAUGACAGUUUUGGCCACGGGAAUACUGUCAACCUGAAUACUGCAUCUCAGACUUUCUAGUAUAUAGAUGGUGUUGCUCUUCUUGUCUGCUUUGCCUUUGUCUCUACCAUAUUUGUCCUCAAAUAAACUUUGGUAAAAAUGUCUGGGGACGGGAUUGAGGGCAUUACUAGAGAAGGAAAUGGCUCUGAUGUCUGUUAGGAACAAACUGCUCUGGCCCUGGCCAUUCAAGCAGCCAACCCAGGCUAAUCAGGACAAGGGGCUCUGGAUGUGGAGGCUGAAGGCGUUAACUGUUCUCUGGGAAAUUUUAGCCAACUCACGAUGAUUAGGUUGUACUAGGAAAUAUUUGAGGCAGGAAAUGUUUUUGAGAAACCUGAAAUUUUAGUAGUUAAGAGAAUUGAAGACCCUAAGGAAAAGGAACGGUGGACCUGGGUCACUAAGAACAGGGAUGUCCAUGGAAAGUACAAGGGACAAGAUGGAGGAAGAAACAGCUGGGUCUACUGGGUUAGUGAGCAAUGGUGAGAGCCUCUACCAGGGGAAAUCUCUAUUAACAGACAGUUGGAGUUAGAGAUAUUAUUGGGGAGAACUGGAAGAUAUAUGUAUGAUAAAGAAGAUAAAAGCUGGGCAGAAGAGUUUUGGACCCUGCGAGGGAGCCAUUGGACCAGUGAACUUCUUUUCUGGAAAGAUUGGGAAACUAGGCUACAAGCUCUAAGAGGCAGAAUUUACGCUUGUAAGGGAGCUCUGGGGGAGCUGCAGCAGGACGUAAAAUAGCACAUGGAAAAGAGGGUGAAAAGCACUGUAGACAUAGGUAUUUGGAUGAGCUUAAUAAAGAGAUUUUGCAAAUUUAAGACAAGUUAAAAAUAUUAACAUUACCCUGACCUAUUUAUCAACUUUCCAAGGAGAGAGAGAGAGAGAGAGCAAGCGAGCGAGCGCGAGAGCUGACAGCUGUCUGUGAGCACAGCUUCUGAGCAGCAAUGGGUCAUCUGUCAGCUUGUAGGUGUGUAGCUACCUGAGACUCUGAUUUUGUGCGGAUCCAAUCCUCCCAUUCUCAAGAACUUGAAACAACUGAGGCUGCUCCUCAGCAGCAUUUUUAUUUUUUAUUUAAUUUUUCCAGUUUGCCAGUGUGUGGAAGUCAUAAGCUGAGGCACUGUGUGUCACUGAGACAGGGUCUGUGUGUGUCUGUCUGUCUCUGUGUCUGUCUUUCUGUCUCUCUCUCGUUAGACCCAGGAACUCGUAGACUCGGCUAUCCUUGCUAGCCAGCUUGUUUCCACUCUGAGUGCUGGGCUAUAGGCUGGAUGCCAUGCCUAGCUCCAGUCAUGGCCUUUCACAUCAAGAGCAUUACCCUCUGAGUCCUUUUUCCCCAGUCUGGCAAAUGAUUUUUAAAGGAAGCCAAUAAGCUUGUUAAAGUGUAUGGUUUUCCUACGGAUGUGCAGCAACACUGGGAGCUCUAACCCUUGUCGCUUCACGACGGGUAUUCUUUCAGAAGUUGCCACUGUGGCUAGGAUCUCAGUUCUUACUGAAAGUUCUAGACAAGAAAAAUCUCUGCAAAACUUGUGUUUUCGCAUUGUAUUUACAAUAUCUUACUCUGGAGUGUAUACAGUAGAGCAAAGCUUCUAUUUGGGAGUAAUGUGUCCUCACUAUGAGGCUCUAAUGGACUUCUGAUGUAAUAGCCACCAGGGAUGGGAACUCUUCUGUUAUAGAUUAAGCUGACUUGUGAGCCUAGUACCAAAUAAAAGAUACACCAUCCUUUA